CGUGCUUCAUGGCCUUAUUCAAUCAAGCACUCUAUUCUUGAUUUACUGCUAAAUCCUCCUUUGGUUUUUAGUUUCAUAAAAACUUUCGUAUGGUGGAUAUUCUUAUGUAGAAAAUGUAGGUGGAUGUGAAGCACCGCCAAGUCCUUUGAGUUUUAGGCAGUUGCGAGUAGUACUCUGGCGAAUAGUUUUGUUAUGUAACUAUUUGGGCAUGUUGUUGAGUCUCCAUGUGUUUGUGUUUUUUGCAGUUUUUUUCUUGUUGAUUUCUGGUCGUAUAACAUUGUGGUCAGAAAAGAUGCUUGAUAUGAUUUCAAUUUUCUUAAUGUU
rnacentral:lncRNA from 9 species